UACGUAGGGUGCGAGCGUUGUCCGGAAUUAUUGGGCGUAAAGAGCUUGUAGGCGGCUUGUCGCGUCUGCUGUGAAAAUCCGGGGCUCAACCCCGGACUUGCAGUGGGUACGGGCAGACUAGAGUGUGGUAGGGGAGACUGGAAUUCCUGGUGUAGCGGUGAAAUGCGCAGAUAUCAGGAGGAACACCGAUGGCGAAGGCAGGUCUCUGGGCCACUACUGACGCUGAGAAGCGAAAGCAUGGGGAGCGAACAGG
rnacentral:rRNA from 1 species